UACGGGGGGGGGCAAGCGUUGUUCGGAAUUACUGGGCGUAAAGGGUUCGUAGGUGGCUUGUUAAGUCAGACGUGAAAUCCCUCGGCUCAACCGGGGGAACUGCGUCUGAGACUGAUGAGCUCGAGUGCAGGAGAGGAACGCGGAAUUCCAGGUGUAGCGGUGAAAUGCGUAGAUAUCUGGAGGAACACCGGUGGCGAAGGCGGCGUUCUGGACUGCAACUGACACUGAGGAACGAAAGCCAGGGGAGCAAACGGG
rnacentral:rRNA from 1 species